AUUCUCGCUGCAGCUACGGGACGGAUCAAAGAGGCAAAGUCGUUCUGCAGCGCUGCUAAAAAAAGCCGGUGCCCCGCCGAACGCAGCAGCUCCGCGCUCUCUAUGGGAGUCACACCCCCCCGCAACAUUCAAAAGGGCAGGUGGAUAGUCAGACCGUGAAUCCAUUUUCUCUUGGCCAUUUCAUUGAGUCAGGGAUGGAAACUAAGUGAGAAGUUGCUGAGUCUGUAAAAUUAACAAACUUCUUCCAUACAGUCCUUGAACUUCUGCAGAGAACGCUGACAGAAUUGACCCACAACAGACUUUCAAAGUAAGCCUUUGAACAUCCAGUUCCUUUCAAAAUCCAGAACCCUAUUUUCACAGGUAAGAAUCAUACUAUUGUCAAGCUAUAAAAAUUGCUUGCAUUAGGACUGCCAUGCUGCUUCUAACUUGCCUGCAGCUGCAAGGGGGGAGGAAAAGAUUUGCAAUGCACAGGUGGAUUCUAUCCAGAUGGGAACCAAGGUCACCAAAGAAAUGUUGUGGCAAACAGCAUAACAACUGUGAUGAUCUAAACUGUGAGAGAGGGGAGGGAAAGUUUUACUCUUUCCCCCACCAUAUUGCCAGAGGUGGUUUUCAACUCUUCAGGGCCGGUAUGUGAUACCUAAUAAAGUUAUACAUUAGAAAUCUAGAUGACUCUGGUAUAUUUACUUCAUUGAGAUCCUUAGCUGGAACCCUAACAACUGUCUUAUUAUGAAUAUAUUGCACCUACAAUAUGCUAUCAUAUGAUAGACCAAAUGAGAACCAGUUUAUUGUAAUGACUAAAGUACCACAUAAACCCUUCCACAAAUUUUGUGCAGUUACAUUUGCAAUUUGAAAUAGAUGCUGAAAGGAGAUUAUAGUAAAGAAAAUGGUCAAAUGACUCUGAAAAGAACUAAUUUACUCUUUUUUUUUACUCUGAGAAACACCUAUUCUGAGGUGCUCUUGCCCAAACUGGGUGACAACAGAAGGAACUCAAAAAAGUCAAGAAGACACUGAUCAUCUGAUUGAAACAUUGCCGCACAAUGUAGUCACCAUCACCUUCCUGACCUUGUUUCACUACCUCUAUGGAUGUUUCUGCAAUCUAGGAGAGCAGGUGGACCCUCCUUGGUAGGAAGAACCAUGAGAAGAAUGGAAAUUUUUCCCAAAGUAACAAAUCCACCCAUUUAGAGGGCACCAAGUUGAGAAAAUGUGACUUUGGAAUAAUAUCGCAAUUGAAAAAAUUGACUUUUUUACAGUUGCUACUUUUUGUCAGCCCCCAACCAGCAAUUGGCUCUUCUGAUCAUCUACAGAAGAAGAAACCACCCACCUGUGUUCAUACUGGGAUGCGGUUCUUCAAAUUGGUUAAAAUGGCUAUAGAAUUUGUAAGCAUCUUUUCAGGUACUUAACCAUUUCAAAGGAGAGAUUUGUUUAGCUAUGAAUGGUUCUAUCUCUAUCCCAUCUUACCAUCAGGUCAAAGUAGCACUCCAUAUUCCCUGUCUUCUCACAAUGGCUCUACAAAGUUAAUUGGAAACAUCAUAAUUGGGUCGUGGCUGGGGAAAGUGGACAAUUGAAUACAGAUCCCGAUAGCUGUAGCCUGAUACGGGAGGCAACCUGAGGCCUGUGGCUACAUGUAACCCUUAGCUUUCUUUUUCUUUCUUUUUCUUUUGCAGAUCACAAAGCCCCUUCCAACCACAAUGGCCAAAACAAAACAAAAAAAGCAGUGUGGUUUCCCAUCAUUUUAAAAUAACACAUGAAAUGUGAAGUGUGAGUCUUACAAAAGGAUUAACAAUGGACCUCUUUGAGCCUUCAGGUAGCAGAAAUGCUCAUCAUGUUAGCAACCAGGCCUAAUAUUUUUUUAGGGGUUCUUGGAUGUUUAAUUAUAAUAGUAUAUUUACUUGGAAUGUAGCUGGUUUAGAUAGUCCUUAACAUACUACCACAGUGGAGCCCCAAAUUUCCAAGGCAGUUGUUAAGGGCCCCGUUUUAUGACCUUUUUGCCAUGAUUGUUAAGCAAAUCACUACGGUUAAUUGAAAUGUGGUUGUUAAGUGCAUCUUGCUUUCCCCAUUGACUUUGCUUAUCACAAGCUCCCUAGGAAUGUUGUAGACGGCAAUCCCAGAACCCCAGGAUUCUGCAGCCAUCAUAAACACCUGCCGAUCGCAAAGCACACAAAGUUUGAUCACAUGACUUAUGAUCACGUGUCAUAAGUCACUUUUUACAGUAACUUUGAAUGGUCAUUAAGCAAGUGCUUGUAAGUUGAGGAUUACCUGCAUAUUGUGGGAAAUAUUAACGGAAGAUAGUUUACCUAACAGACUGAUAUGCUCAGCACUCGGGCUGCCUGAAUAUAUUUAAGGACCUGUAGUUGAAGUCUAAAUAAAAUGCAGUGAGGAACUCAAGAGAUUCCUGGCCCAGACAGUUGCAUGUGGGCAAUGAGCAUACCUCCAUGGCUCUAUUACUCUGUCACUAUAGCCCAGCGUGCCUGGCUGAGGAAUUCUGGGAGUUGAAGUCCACAAGUCAUAAAAGGGCCAAGUUUGAAGACCCCUGCUAUAGCCCACAAUCUCCUGAAAAAUGUUAUGUGCCUAUUGUUGGUCACCAAAAGUAUGUCUAUCCCUGUUCAAUUUUAACAUAGUGUUUGAUUCAGCUAGCACAAACCUCACUGGGGUCAUUUCAGUUAAGGAAAGUCCUCAGAAUGCCUUAGACAAGUGAGACAGUCGAUUAAGUAGACCUCUAUUUACUCUUUGGUCGCAGGGGGCUCUUUGAUCAUCUUGACUGCCAUUCCCAGUCUCCUAACAUCACUUGCCAUCACUUUCCUUUCAUAAACCAGACUUAAGCACAGAUAAUGCCAUUCAUUAGGAGCACCAGGCAGACAUGGUGGAGCCCAUUUGCAAUCAUUUUUUUGCUGUUGAUGCCUGAGGUUCUUGUUGUAAAUUAUAUAUUAUUAUUAUUUUUUUUUAAAAAAAGUGAGGUCUGGAUGAACUCAUCAAUGCUCAUUAGUAGCAUUACAUUGCAGGAUGCUAUUUGAAAAGCUAUUAAACUCGAUUGGUAAGACUGA